rnacentral:lncRNA from 1 species
AUGAAGUGAAUCCAAAAAUGAGCUGCGGUUUAUUGCAGCGUUGCUAUGGCAAUUUUUAGUCCACGGACAAAAAAAGACUAGUUCCCUAGUUAGAAGUGCGGCUUCCGCUCGAAUGGCGAACGGCGUAGGCUUUAAAAUUGGAAUCCCAAGUUUAGGGAAACCUGUUUCAGUUCUGGAUCAUAUACAAACAGUUCGUAGCGGAGCGGAGUGUAGUCGAGCUUCCAUUUGUCACUUCCAAUUAGACCGAGUCAAAGCGAGUCAGGUGAACUUUGUCCCGGCUGCUAAUCUCCCGACAUCUGUACCCAGCUCUCCAGACUUCGGACCAGGGGUCGAACCAGACUCAUUCAAUCAAUUGAAACACUGACACUGCUUUCUCUGUUUUGAAUACAAAUUAUCCCGAGUGAUGGCCAACCCACAACAUGCAGCUGCCACGCCCCCAAUCAAGCAGAUCCACACUCUGAAAAAGGAAGGACUCCUCCAUUAAUAUAAGUUAUGGACAUUUAAAAACUUCCAGGAACGAAAUGACUAUUUGGUUUUGACGCCUUGUUCGUCAAGCUUUCUUUUUUAAUGAACUAGAAAAUGAACAUUUUUUCUUCGAGCACAUUUGAGUUUAACCGCUCUACCUAUUCGUACUGUUAAAACUCACAUACACAUUAAAUAGCAGGUAACUU